rnacentral:lncRNA from 1 species
UAAAAACUCCAGAAUUGCAGGGAAGGAGUCCUGGGGGGUUGCGUGAACAGUUCCGGCGCGUGGAUCCACGCACCCCGCCACUGGCGGCGCGUGGGUUCACGCGCCGCCGCAAACAAAAACAGGGGACAGGGUGGAUCAGGCUCGGCUUCUCUCCUUCUUCCUCUCCUCACCGGCGGUGAAAGCCCCCGUUAUCUGCAGAACGAAGAAACACACAAAACAGCAGUUGAUUUUAAUUUUUUUCGUUUUCAAUCUGUUCUCUUUGAUCUGCUUCUCUGCAGAUCGGUUCUUUCGGCAUCUUCUUCUUCUCUAAUUCAGGUAGCAGAUCGUAUGCCCAAGGGGUGGCCGGCGGCUGAGCUUCGGUCGUGGCUGUGCAGCGGCCUGUGCUGGUUCGGGCGAGGAUGGCAGUGGGCGCCGCUGUGUCGGGCUGCUACUGGAGGAGAGGAUGGAGCUGGGUCUGCUGUGGUGGCUUGAUGGUGGAGAUCGUAGCUUGAGAGAGAAGGGGUCUCGGCUGAGAGGCAGUCUAUCGGUGGAACGGAGAAGAAGAAAAAUUAAAAGAGAAAUGGGGGGGCUUGAGCUGCGGUGGAGAGGCAGAGGUGGAAGGGGCUGUUUGGUUUGCUGCUGUUUGGGAGAGGUUGAGAGUCAGGGACGAGAGACAGAGGUGGAAGGGGCUGGUCCGGUGCUGAUGAGGAGAAGAUCGGCGUUGUGGGUGGUGCUGGUUUGGGGAAGAAAAGAAAAAUGAAAACGGUGAGGGGGGGCUGUUCGGUUUUGGAGGAGAAGGGAGCUAUGGCUGUGGGGUUUUUUUGAAAAAUGGAGGUCCAGUGGGGGAGAAGGAGAAAAUCUCAAAGGAGCUGGGGAUCGUGGGUCUCUGCCCACUCCUCUCGGGACCCGACGAAAAUGGCUUCCCCCCCUCUCUUGCAAAGCUGGGAAUGAGAAGAAAUAUGGGUUUUUUUUCAUUAUGAGGAGGGCCAACAUGUCGGCGGGAAACAAGGAAAAGAAAACCAUGGGUGGGGGCUCAGUUCAUCAUUUUUAGCCGAAAGAGAGGGAUUAAAUAAUGGUCUUGGGCCAGGGGCAACGGCUAGUUUCGGGUGAAGAGAAAAAAAAUUCUUAGGUUGCCCCUCCUUCCAAAAUUCAAAAUUCCCUUAGGCAAAAAUAUUGUUUCGGCCUCAAAAUUGGUCCCUUAAUUUUCUUUUUUUUGUAAAAUUUGAUUUUUCUUGUUUUUUUUUUUUUUUGUAUUUUUUUGAAAACGAGCAAUAUCAACGUCGACUCAAAUACGAAAAAUCAAUUAUUUUGAAAAUGACGCGUGAAAAGUCGAACGCAUUCGAAAGACCCUUAAAAAUUAAAAAAAAAAUUUAGACAACGUUGAAAAUGCUAAAAUGACAAAAAUAUAUUAAAAACAUAUUUUUUUGGAUUUUCUUUGUUUUUCUCUAUUUUUGGAUUUUUUUGAAAAUAUAUCAAAAACAUGGGUCAAAAAUUGGGUAGCAACAGAUGCCCCCUCUUUACAAUGCUUACGAAGCAAAAAUCCUCGAUGUUUUGCAUAGUAAGCUUUGUAAAGAAAAACUUGUCUUUCUAUUUUCUCAAUAUCCACUUCAUCAGCAAUCUUCCUUUUUUUUUUUCUUUUUUUUUAUUAUCCUGAGAUCCCAUCUGGCGACCUCCUUUAAACAAAACCAAAGAAUGUGUGUAACUCGGUCAACUUGAAAUCCCAUAUGGAGAUUCCCUUUAACCAAAGCCACAUGAGAUCCCAUCUGGCGACCUCAUUCAACUGGAACAAAAGAAUGUGUAAAAAGCGGUCUCAUUAUAAUGGGUGACCUACCCAAGUGUAAAGGGGGAAGAGUGGUCUCAUUCUUUGGGUGACCUACCCAGGGGGAGGAAUGGCCUCAUUCUUAUGGGUGACCUACCCAGGUAAAAAAAAUGGAGAAUGGUCUCAUUCUUUGGGUGACCUACCCAGAAAAAAUGGUGGUCUCAUUGUGGGUGACCUACCCAAGUGGAAAAAAAGAGUGGUCUCAUUCUUUGGGUGACCUACCCAGGGGAGGAAUGGCCUCAUUCUUAUGGGUGACCUACCCAGGUAAAAAAAAUGGAGAAAUGGUCUCAUUCUAAUGGUGACCUACCCAGAAAAAUGGUGGUCUCAUUGUGAUGGGUGACCUACCCAAGUGGAAAAAAUGUGAAGAGUGGUCUCAUUUUUGGGUGACCUACCCAGGGAGGAAUGGUCUCAUUGUAUGGGUGACCUACCCAGGAAAAAAUGAGAAGUGGUCUCAUUGUAAUGGGUGACCUACCCAGAAAAAAUGAUGAAGUGGUCUCAUUGUGAUGGGUGACCUACCCAGAUGGAAAAAAUGUGAAGUGCGGUCUCAUUGUAAUGGGUGACCUACCCAGAUGGAAAAAAUUGAUGAACGGUCUAUUGUGAUGGGCGACCUACCCAGAUGGAAAAAUGUGAUAUGACAAGUGUGAAAAAUAGGACUUACCUGGCGAAGUCCUGAGGGGAUGACAGAAGAAGGGCUGGAAAACUUGGUGCUUCCUGAUAAUUCCCGAUCAUAGGGUUUGAAAACUCGGUGUUUCCUGACUGCAAGGGUUGAAAACUCGAGGCUUCCCGAUUGCAAGGUUGAUCUUUCAUUUCUUUGGGAUUUUCCUAAUGGUAAGGUUUAUCCCAUCGUCCUUUUAUUCCAUGAUCAAAACCGAUUCUUUAUUAUCAUCACCACAAUGCUUCUUUCUUUUCCACCAUCUUGCUGGACCUCAUUAAGGAUUUUCCUGUAACAAUUCAAAAAUAUGUGCAAAUGGUUUUUUUUUUUUUUUUUAGGUUAGAUGAUAUGCAUGCAUCCUUACCUGAUUUGAAAUAUAGGUCCCCCCCUCCUUGAUGCUCCAUCGUCAUAGGGUGCCCUUGUUUGCAUCCCAAAGCUUUCUUUGUUCUUCGAUGCAUUGGCUCAUUCAUGUGCUAGCCAUCCACUCAGCUGUAAAUGCAGUGCCCAUCCCGGGCUGUCUUCGACAAUUACUGCUCGCAUCGCUCAUCAAGCUUGACAAUGCCCCCAAGUGUUGUGCUUGAUUCAUCAUGAAGAUUUUCUCUCUUGGAUUCUUCUGAGAAUUAUCCUUUGAUUGAUUGUGUGCAUCAUGCCAACACCCAUCAAGAUUGUUAAUCAGUCAUGAACUUGCCUUCGGUUGAAACACCAUUCAAGUAUGUAUGGUCACCAGCCUUCAUGGAACUGCCAAGUCAUCCAGACAUGGAUCUCAUGCUUUGCAGUAAACAGCUCAUCAUUGUAAGCGCGAUGUAUUUCUCUAUGGAUUCCUCUUAGCUUGUCAAAUCAGAUCGUGAAAAUAACUGCUUUGGCAUCAUCAAUGAUGUUCAUGUUAUCACCCAUAUUCAUGCGGUGAAGUGCGCAUUUGAGCUUCAGAAUAGAUGGUCCCAUAGUCAAUCUUAGUGGUAUGCAUAUGUUCGAUGUUCAUUCAAAUGCACUCACCCGAUAACAUCUGUCAGGAGUCAUAGCCAUGUUUUACAGGUAACCCAAGAUGAAGAUAUGAAAAUAUCCUUCAAGUGCAGCGUUGCUCAUCAAUUGCUGCUGAAGUGCACUAGAUCAUGGAUUGUCUUUGAACAACAUUGCCCCUAUGAUCUGAAUGCUCAUUCUUCUGUUUACAAACAAAUGGCUUUUGUGAAUGCCAGAUGACUUUGUGACUUUGAUGACUCAUCAUGUGAUUCUUUCUUUGCCCCCAGCUGAUCUGGAUAUUGUUUGCUUUUCUUCUAAGGGUCCACUGUAUUGCCCCCAGGUGGUCAACGUUUCAAGGAGUGUCGAGAAAUGUUGAUGUCAUUUUUGUCGAGGAUUUUGCAAACUCAACUGAUGUUCUUGUUUGAAAAUCUUUCUUGUUCUGGAAUCAAAUCUCACAUUUCAACGAUCAUGUCUAUUCAAGUCUAAUUGUUGAAAUGAAAUCAGAGAGAUGUCUGUUUUUGAAAUUUUUUUUUUUUUGAAAUUCAAACUUCUUUGGUCAAAGACCCAACACACUAUUCAAUGCAGUCCUUUGAUUGUCUUGUUUUGAAAACAGAAAUGACCCGUUGUAAGAUUUAAAAUGACUUUUUCAUGGUUCUUUGUGUCCACUUUAAACUCUGAUUUUGGGUAUAUCUUUUGAUGGUCUGUGAUGAGGUGACAUUUUUAUGAAUUUCAAAAACAAGAUGCUCAGGCUUUAUCAAGAAAGGUUGUUUCUUUUCUUAGCAUUUAUUUUAUCAGCAUGCAUAAUAACCAGUAGCUUAAUUCAUGAAGUCACGACCCUUAUGGAAAAACUCUUCAAGUUUUGAGAGCGCCAUUUAUCGAUUCAAAUUGCUUGCUUGAUUAAAAAGGGCUUUUAAAAGCACGUAAUGCAGGCUAUGGUUCAUGGCUAUGAAAGAAAAGAAUUUCAAAGGCUCAAAAGGUGUUUGAGGGUUUCAAACCUAGGAUCAACAUCAAUUAUUCAUCGAUCUCUUUCUCUUGUGUCAUUGUAGAGAAAGACAUAUAACCUUGUUAAUCUCAAAUAUCAGAAUUCUCUUAACAUAGGUCAUAAUCCAACUUUUCUUUGAUGAAUAACAAUCUAAUUUUGAAGACAUUAGAGGCUUUAUCCUAGACACACCAAAAGAUAUGAAGCAUCGAUUUUUCUAGUGUUGACUUUUGGCAUUUAUUGUCUUUUCUCAUUUGAAAGUUGUCUUGCCUCUCUUAGAAUUGGUAGGCAUUUUCUUUCAUUUCCUCAAAGUUUUUCUUGGAUGGCCCUCAAUCUAUGGAUUUUCUUCUUCUAGCCCUUUCUCAAACAUUGGACUUUUAUUCUAAGCUUUUCUUUGAUCCAUUGAUUUUACCCGUGUCUCCAAAAUAUUUCUCAUUUGCCCCCAGUGUGGGGUGUGAUCCUAGUCAGGGUUUUUAUAAAAACAUAUUCUAUCCAGCUCAAAAUGGGACUACAAGGGAGAUAAUUUUUUUUUAGAAAGUGACAGGAUAUCGAAGAUGGCCUUUUCUCAUUUCAAGCAAGGUCGGUUAGAACCGAUAAAUUUUGACCUCAUCUAGUGUAAUGAUUUGGACUUGUAAGAGUCAUGAUUCACGAGUCCAUAGCUACCGAAACCACUACAUGUCAUUAUGCAUACUGUUAAAACUUGGCUAUAUAAUGUGUGGUUCAAACUUGUGCGUGAGCUCAAAAAUUGGUUUGGUCACCUCAUGUCAUUUCAACAAGAAUCGAGUCAUUUUUGCAAUCAAAACACUUUUAAUCUUCAGGAUUGAUUAGCCUUUAUUUCAUGUUGGAGUUUGAUCAAACAUUUUGUCAAAAUAAAAUGUUAAACAUCUGUUGAUUUCAAAACAACAAAAAGACAAGAGCAAGGCAUGUUUCGUUGAAGGAUGAGAUGUGAUCCCAAAACAAAAUGCAGAAUUCCAAAACAAUAUGAUUGACUGUUCAUCACCAUUCUUGAAUCAGCUUUUCUGGCAAUAUUUGCGUUUUGCCGAGCACUUCCGAUCACUUGUCAUUCUGAAAAUGAUUGAUGACAUCAUCUUUCGCAAAUUGAGCUCAACUCUUGAAACUCUUGCAUCUGCUUAACUAAAAUGGCCGAGGACCCCCACCAUGACAACACAUCUGUUGUCCAGGUUGAACCACCUGGAAAAUAGUGGUUACAUGGGAUUUGUCGGAGUCAAGCAAAAUUCUGGAAUCUGGCAGAUGUUGGUCCACAAACUUAAGUGGCAGAGGAAUGUCAAUCUUGGCAAAGACAUUUGAGCAAUUGAUGCUUGAGCGAGACUUGACUAGGCAAAAUAACUGAGGUUUCUCAAUCGAGAGUCAUCUUCUGAUUCAACUCUUUUCACAGUUCUGGAAUCCAUAACAAGACCUUCAAUCCUUCACUUUUUCAUAGCUCACUCAAUUCUUUCGAUGAUCUUCAUAACAUCAUGUCAAUCUUUCAAUGUUGUUGUUGUUGUUCUAGGAUUGUUGGAAACCUCUUAAUAGCUAGGUAAUCCCAGCAGCGCAUGAAAACAAAAACAUGUGGAAUCACAUAUUGUCAAAACUGGAAGAGAGCUUGAUAAAUCUAAAACUCCUUUGUCCCCUCUUCAAUUUCUCACUGACAGUGCAGCAAACAAACACCUAUAGAGGAAGUCCUGCUCUGUUGAAGUUUCAGUAUUCUUCAUGUUUUUCAGUCUAGGCAUGUCUCUUCUCUAUACUUUUGCGUUUUAGUACUAACACUGUUUGGAGGAAAAUCAUAGAUGAUCUGAAACUACUAUGUUCUUUCUUGGAUUUCCCACUUGCGGAUCCACAAACAGAUUCCUGCCGAGAGAGCUCUGUUACGUUAAAGUUUGAUGUCUGCUCAUAUUUUUCAGACCAGGUCUGGCUCUUCGACCUACUAAGAGGUCUUCGUGCUGAAACUGAUGAGAGAAAUAUUUGUAGCAUAUGCAACUUAUAAAUCCCCUCUUGCAUUCCUAAUUUGCAGAGCCAUAAAUGGAUUUUUGUAGAGAGAGCUCUGUCACGUAGAAGUUCAGUGUUUAAUCAUGGUUUUUCAGACCAACAUCUUGUGCUGCUGAAAUGGAAUUGAGCUUAUAAUUGGGGUAGCUUCAAAGAAGACUAAUGCACCAUGUACAGGAGACCGAUAGUGGUUUGGUUCCAUUAGAUGAUGUGGAGGCGAUGAACACUUAACAGUGCAACUGGACAAGAACUAGAGUUGUCAUUAGUUAAUGACUGAAGGCAUUGCUGCUGUUGUUCAUGACUGAAAAGGAGAGGCAGCUUCAAUUGGACGUGGACAAGCAGUGUUCCCACAGAAGACUGUGCAGACAUUCUCUUUCCAUUUGAUGCUCAACACUUGUUCGAGCAGAUCUGAGUCCAACUAUUUCACCUUUGAUGCUCUCAAACUCAAACUGAUAAUGAGCCUCUAUCUGACACCUUUCUUCACCUCCAUCAUUUUUCUUCAAUCACGUGCAGCACAGCUCGUGCAGGGGAACCUACUUUUCAACCCGGUACAUGCAUGAUAAAUGUAUGAACAUGUAAUCUAUAUGACGAACUCACCCUUCGAGGGGUGACAAUAUGAUCGUAACUCUUGUAUGAUGGACAAGAAUCGUGAUUUUUGCCCAAACUCUACAAUGAAAAUUUUCGGAGUGACGGCCAAUGUGUCACCCACAAGUCUUGAGUUCAAGAUGCUUCAAGAAGGGUUUGCUCGGAUGCAAAACAAUAGCACAUACAUCCUAAAGACAGGCUCUAUUCAUUUUACGUGAGACAGGGUAGGUUUGCUACUUGGUCUCUAAAAGGGUCUCUUGUUGUCCCAGUGAUCGCCUUCGUAAAGGCAAUAUAGGGGCCCAGCAGGUAAUUGGUUGGCACGUGUCCAACUAUUACCAGUCUAAGCACUCAACAAAGAGUUGGGGUUUACACAAACUUAAACCUUGACUCAAGUCGUAAGGUAAGCUGCUAGUCCCCCACCUAACCUAAAGCUGGUGUGUGCUUUCAAAAAUUAAAACUUGUGAUGCAUGAGAGAAAUAUAUACAAUGCAUGAAUAAAACAAAAAUAAAUAAAACAAAACAAAAAAUAAAAAAUAAAAAAAAAUAAAAAUAAAACACAUCAAAACACAAAGCUUAGUCCGAUAAAGUUGAAAACAAUACUUGUCCCCAGUGGAGUCGCCAUUCUGUUGCACCCCAAAAAAUGUAAAAUCGGAUCCGGCGCGCGGCAUCGGGCUGGCGAUUUUUCUUGUUUUUGCGUUUGCUUUGAAUUUGUUCGUUGGAGUCGCCACCUAGUAAUUCAUUGAGGGCUACUAGGAAACCUGAUGUACUGGUCUUGUCAGAGAUCGCGGAUAAGGGACUGGUUGUGGUUAGGGAAGGUAUUAGCACCCCUAACACACCCUACCUGAGGUAAGUUGCAUUGUGUUCUGAUGUGAUUUGAAAAUUUAAAAUAUUAAUUAAAUUCUAAGGCUUGAAUAAAUUAGUUAUUAAAUCCCAGAAUAUAUGUAAAAACUUAUUCUUACAUUUUCAUGGAAAAUACAACUUGAUUUUAUUUGUCCUUGAGAUAUUUAACCAUAUUUAAGAAAAUUUAAAAUAUUAAUUAAAUUCUAAGGCUUGAAUAAAUCAGUUAUUGAAUCCCCGAAUAUAUGUAAAAAAACUUGUUCUUACAUUUUCGUGGAAAAUACAACUUGAUUUUAUUUAUCCUUAAGAUAUUUAAUCAUAUUUAAAUUAACAAUUAAUUCUUUUUAUCCUUCUUUUAUUUUUACAAUUUAAUAACAUAAAUAAAAAUACAAACAAGCACACAUCUCUUUUUAUUAUUUAUUUUCUUUUAUUUUCUUCUUUUUUUUCUUUUACAUUCACAUAUUACAAAUUUAAAAUAAAUAAACAAAAAUUACAUUAAAACUUUAAAAUUUACAAAAUGGUCCCUAAAAACUCCAGAAUUGCAGGGAAGGAGUCCUGGGGGGUUGCGUGAACAGUUCCGGCGCGUGGAUCCACGCACCCCCGCCACUGGCGGCGCGUGGGUUCACGCGCCGCCGCAAACAAAAACAGGGGACAGGGUGGAUCAGGCUCGGCUUCUCUCCUUCUUCCUCUCCUCACCGGCGGUGAAAGCCCCCGUUAUCUGCAGAACGAAGAAACACACAAAACAGCAGUUGAUUUUAACUUUUUUUGUUUUCAAUCUGUUCUCUUUGAUCUGCUUCUCUGCAGAUCGGUUCUUUCGGCGUCUUCUUCUUCUCUAAUUCAGGUAGCAGAUCGUAUGCCCAAGGGGUGGCCGGCGGCUGAGCUUCGGUCGUGGCUGUGCAGCGGCCUGUGCUGGUUCGGGCGAGGAUGGCAGUGGGCGCCGCUGUGUCGGGCUGCUACUGGAGGAGAGGAUGGAGCUGGGUCUGCUGUGGUGGCUUGAUGGUGGAGAUCGUAGAGCUUGAGAGAGAAGGGGUCUCGGCUGAGAGGCAGUCGAUCGGUGGAACGGAGAAGAAGAAAAAUUAAAAGAGAAAUGGGGGGGGCUUGAGCUGCG